rnacentral:rRNA from 1 species
AAGCUCGUAGUUGAAUUUCGGGGUUAGUAGGUUGGUCAUGCCUCUGGUAUGUACUGGUCUCACUGAUUCCUCCUUCCUUAUGAACCGUAAUGCCAUUAAUUUGGUGUUGCGGGGAAUUUGGACUGUUACUUUGAAAAAAUUAGAGUGUUUAAAGCAAGCUAACGCUUGAAUACAUUAGCAUGGAAUAAUGAAAUAGGACGUUCGAUCUUAUUCUGUUGGUUUCUAGGAUUGACGUAAUGAUUAAUAGGGAUAGUUGGG